rnacentral:rRNA from 1 species
AGUGAACGCUGGCGGUAGGCCUAACACAUGCAAGUCGAACGGCAGCACAGUAAGAGCUUGCUCUUACGGGUGGCGAGUGGCGGACGGGUGAGGAAUACAUCGGAAUCUACUUUUUCGUGGGGGAUAACGUAGGGAAACUUACGCUAAUACCGCAUAUGACCUACGGGUGAAAGCAGGGGAUCUUCGGACCUUGCGCGAUUGAAUGAGCCGCUGUCGGAUUAGCUAGUUGGCGGGGUAAAGGCCCACCAAGGCGACGAUCCGUAGCUGGUCUGAGAGGAUGAUCGGCCACACUGGAACUGAGACACGGUCCAGACUCCUACGGGAGGCAGCAGUGGGGAAUAUUGGACAAUGGGCGCAAGCCUGAUCCAGCCAUACCGCGUGUGUGAAGAAGGCCUUCGGGUUGUAAAGCCCUUUUGUUGGGAAAGAAAAGCAGCAGGUUAAUACCCCGCUGUUCUGACGGUACCCAAAGAAUAAGCACCGGCUAACUUCGUG